rnacentral:rRNA from 1 species
CCUUUGGCGUUAGCGGCGGACGGGUGAGUAACACGUGGGUAACCUACCUAUAAGACUGGGAUAACUUCGGGAAACCGGAGCUAAUACCGGAUAAUAUUUCGAACCGCAUGGUUCGAUAGUGAAAGGUGGUUUUGCUAUCACUUAUAGAUGGACCCGCGCCGUAUUAGCUAGUUGGUAAGGUAACGGCUUACCAAGGCGACGAUACGUAGCCGACCUGAGAGGGUGAUCGGCCACACUGGAACUGAGACACGGUCCAGACUCCUACGGGAGGCAGCAGCU